UCGAUCCUUUAGACCUUCG
rnacentral:snRNA from 1 species